GUCUUCUAGUUUGGAUCUGACCCUCCAGAAACAUCAAGAUGAUUUCUCCCAGUUAUCUGCUGGCUGUCAUCUUCAUUUCUAUUCAGGGAUCCUGUGGAGAGAUUGUGAUGACUCAGACUCAGGAUUCUAUCUCUGUGUCCCCGGGACAGACAGUCACCAUCACAUGUACAUCCAGUAGCAGCCUAACUAGUAACAGCAAAUACUUUCUAGCCUGGUACCAACAGAAGCCCCACCAACCUCCAACGCUUCUCAUCAAUUGGGCCAGCACCCGGGCAUCUGGGAUCCCGGACAGGUUCAGUGGUUCUGGAUCUGAAACUGAAUACAAAUUAACUAUCACUGGAGUAACUGCAGAAGAUGAAGCAAACUAUUACUGCCAGCAGACAGGGUGGACUCCACUCACACAGUGA